UUUUUUUGUACAGUGCAAAAGAGGAUGAUGUGACUGUUUUUGACAUUGUUCUGUUGCUGACAUUAUAAAUAAGUCUUUAUUUUUAUAGUCUAUCUUGAAUUUAUGGUAAACAAGUAGAGAUGGAAAAAAUAUAUACACUUCUAUUGAUGUGCAACAAAGCUCUUUUGAUUUUGCAUGAUUGUUUAUUUUUUUACCAGAUUGGAAAACCCAUCCGGAUCCAAAAGUAGCUAUGGCUUUGUACAGAAAGGAAAUUCUCAGACUGCAUGAGACAGAGAAACCUCUUUAAAUGUGUAUGGACUUGAGAACGUGUGCUGAAGAACAGGAAAGGCAACUGAUCAACUUCUACAAGCAAAGAAAUGUAGAGUGGGCCUGUCCUGUCAAAUGUCAACUUGAAGGGGAUGCUGCAGUUGGUGAUGGAGUCACCAGACACUUUUUUCUACAAUUCUUGAAAAACUGAAGUAUGGUUUCAGUUUGAACUUGGGAAACACAGGAGUUACUUGCCUCUUUGAGGGACAGCCAGACCACUUGGUGCCCUCAUCCUCACAAUUCCUCAUUGAAAGUGACCUCUUCCUAGUAGCGGGGAGAAUGCUAGGUCAUUCUUUUCUGCACGGCGGCCCAUGUCUCGCAGGGCUCAGCAGAGCUUUUGUUCAUGUUCUACUUCAAGGUUCUCAAGAUACUGCCACUUUGCAACUGGAGGACUGCCCAGAUGUUGACAUACGGGAGACCAUCAACUUGCUCAGUGGACAGUCUCCAUUGAAUGAGGACCAGUCUAGUAAAGUCCUGGAUCUUUGUUUGUCUUGGGAUCUUCCUGGUCCAACAGAAGAAAACAGAAGGUGGCUUUACGAACGUCUGCUGUCACAUGCGGUUCUCGGGAGAAGAGUACGCCAAAUCAAGCAACUGAAACGAGGACUGAAAGACACUUGUGUUUGGCCUCGUCUAACUGAGAGGAAGGAUGUGGUAUUCUUUCCCAAGGAAUCGGAGGACUCAUGCACUCCUGAGAUGCUGCUUUCACACAUCUCCUGUCCUAGAGAGAGUGAUGACGAAGAUGAUGAAGAAUACUCAGCUGAUAUAAAGGAACGGAUCACAGGGUAUUUAAAGCAGUUCAUUGAGACAGCAUCCAGCAAGGACUUAAAAACCUUCUGAAGUUCUGGGUCGGAUGGGAGCAGAUGGAGGAAAAUAUGGCUGUGGAAAUUGUGAAAAGUGAUCUCCCAAAAUCCUCUAGCUGCUUCUGUGUUCUCCGGCUCCAAGGGCACUACAACAGUUUCCAGUCCUUCAACAAGGACUUGAUGAUGUGCAUUGGCACAAUGUGUAGUUUUUAGACACAUGUACAUGUUACAUUUGUUACACAGUGAUACACACUUUUAUUAAAUGCUGUUACUGCACUUAGGACCAAUGCUUUGUUCAAACCCAGCUUACAGGUUUUUUUCUUUUUCAUUUUUGGGAUUGCUUUGUACAUGAUGCUUGUUGAUCGUGUUGCUAUUUUUUUGAUACGAUGCUAUAAGAUAUAGUACAUUAAGUAAUUGGUUAAUGUUCUGUACACGCAGUCACUUAUACUGUCAACUUGUAUCGUUCCACAAUGGUUUUUUUCAUGCAUGGGCUCAUGCAGUGGUAUAUACAUUGUUGUUCCAUAGCUUGUCGGAAUUUGCUAAAUAUCAUUAAGUACUUUAUUCUUUUAAAGUAUUUGAAUUUAUGCAAAAUGUAUAUUUAAACAUGUUCAAUGGAAGUACAAAUAUUAAAAAUAAGUCUAUUCUUGAAUAAAAAAAUCCAUAAUCCACUGUGCUUAUGACUAACUGAUGGAAUGGUCAAAUUAAACAAGUGCAAAUUAAACAAAAACAACAUUCUUACAUACAGGUUUUUUUUAUUCAGAUACUUUAACGUAUUGAGUACAAAUAUUAAUUCUUUCUUAAUUGCUUCUGCUAGAAGUCUGCCUCUUUAAGGCUAAAGAUGACAAUCACAUUUAUUCCAUAAUCGAUUGGCAAAAAUGAAGUGCAGCUAGAUAGAUGUCCCAGCCAAAAUCUGUGAAGGUCCUUUGGGGUCAACAUUUUCUCUGAGUGCUUCUAUUCGCUCAUCAGUCAGGGGACAUUGGGUUUGAGGCACAACAACGCUGGAAUGUGCAUCAACAUCAGUCCACUACUCUCCCAGUCUAUCUGUGGUGUGCUG